UCAUCAGGUGGAUAAUCCUUAACUGUUCCUCUAUUCAGAGGGCAGAUAGAACACAAUGGUUGGAGUUAGCAUGAUUUGUGAUUAAUGUCUCUCUGUGAUUAGAGCUUGAAACACCCUAAUGCUAUCUGAU
ensembl:snoRNA U8 U8 small nucleolar RNA